GCUCCCGUAGCUCAAGUGGAUAGAGCCGCGGUUUCCUAAACCGCUGAUCCCGGUUCGAGUCCGGGCGGGGGUACCA
rnacentral:tRNA from 1 species